rnacentral:snoRNA from 1 species
UUGCAGCCAAUUAAACCAACUGUGCUCUUUUCUCUGUGGGUACCCAGCCUGCAAUGGCUGCAAAUAGCAGCCUCCUGACAGUGUAUGCAGCUUGUGUCUCUAUGGGUUGCCCCAAGGGACUCGGAGACAGCU